rnacentral:lncRNA from 1 species
GUGAGUAAGCAGGUGAUUCCAGCGGGUGCCAGUGGUGACGGAACUCAGCUGGGAUGACACCAGUGAGACUGACUGCAGCCAGAGCGUCAGGCAACUUCUCUGAGAGGAAGGAGCAUCUCCUCUGCACUUGGCUUUUCCAAAAUCGUGGCUGCACCGUCUCAGGGAGCCCACUCUAAGGUUGGGCUAAUCUCCCAGAUGAGAACCAGAAAAGCGAAGGGACUACCAAGAUUACACAGCUGUUAGCGGCAGAACUGAGAUUCCACCUGGAUCUUCUGGCCACGAUGCCAACUCUUUGCCCAUCAAACCAGAGUGUCCCCAGGAUUCCCGAGGGCAGGGAGCUGGACACAGCUACUGUGGACCCAGGGAAGCGCUGACCAUCAGGAUUUGGCAGUGAGAGCCUCCGUCCAUCUCCCACCCUCCGGACUUCGAUGUUGGGGCCAGCAGACAGGAGCCAUCAGACACGUUCUUUUCGGGCUGCCUCUUCCUCCGUCCAGCUCAGGUGACUGGUGGCCCCUCUGGGCCCAACCAGUCUGGGCAAGAAGCAGCCCCAGCUCUGUCAGAUGCCCAGGGUGGCCCACCCCCCUUCCUGGAGCCCAGCCAGCCCUCUCAGCUGGACUCUUGACCCUCUGUUUUCCUGUUUCUCUGCAGGAAAUGAGCUCUGAAAGACAAGCGCUGAGUGGGGUCCAGACAACAUAUCCAUGCUCAGGGCAGGAAGUAGGAAGGCGGGCAGGGAGGUCCCAGGCAUAUCUGUCCCCUUCUCUCAGAAAAACAAUGCUUUUAUACAAAUCUCCCCAGCAGACUUCUGCUUGUUCUCUUUGGAAAGAACCAGAACAUGUGGCCAUUCCUAGCUGCAAGAAAGUCUGGGAAAAAGGGAGCAAGAUUAUCAUGAUUGGCUUAGACCAGGGUCAGCAACCUUCCGUGAAGGCCUAGAUGGUAAAGACUUGAGGCUUGGUGGCCGUAGACUCUGUCACAACUACUCAACUCUGCCUUUGAAGCACGAAAGCAGCCCCAGACAAUACACAACAAAUGGGUGUGGCUGUGUUCCCAUUAAACUUUAUGGACACAAGCUUGAAUUUCAUGUUAUUUUCAUGUGUCACAAAGUACUAUUUUUUUUUU